rnacentral:rRNA from 1 species
AGGGAGCUUGCUCCCGGAUGUUAGCGGCGGACGGGUGAGUAACACGUGGGUAACCUGCCUGUAAGACUGGGAUAACUCCGGGAAACCGGAGCUAAUACCGGAUAGUUCCUUGAACCGCAUGGUUCAAGGAUGAAAGACGGUUUCGGCUGUCACUUACAGAUGGACCCGCGGCGCAUUAGCUAGUUGGUGGGGUAAUGGCUCACCAAGGCGACGAUGCGUAGCCGACCUGAGAGGGUGAUCGGCCACACUGGGACUGAGACACGGCCCAGACUCCUACGGGAGGCAGCAGUAGGGAAUCUUCCGCAAUGGACGAAAGUCUGACGGAGCAACGCCGCGUGAGUGAUGAAGGUUUUCGGAUCGUAAAGCUCUGUUGUUAGGGAAGAACAAGUGCGAGAGUAACUGCUCGCACCUUGACGGUACCUAACCAGAAAGCCACGGCUAACUACGUGCCAGCAGCCGCGGUAAUACGUAGGUGGCAAGCGUUGUCCGGAAUUAUUGGGCGUAAAGGGCUCGCAGGCGGUUUCUUAAG